rnacentral:rRNA from 1 species
UACGGGGGGGGCAAGCGUUGUUCGGAAUUACUGGGCGUAAAGGGCUCGUAGGCGGCCAACUAAGUCGGAUGUGAAAGCCCCGGGCUCAACCUGGGAAUGGCCGUUGAAACUGGCGAACUGGAGUGUGGCAGAGGGGGGUGGAAUUCCACGUGUAGCGGUGAAAUGCGUAGAUAUGUGGAGGAACACCAGUGGCGAAGGCGACUUUCUGGGCUGUAACUGACGCUGAGGCGCGAAAGCGUGGGGAGCAAACAGG